GACGAACGCUGGCGGCGUGCUUAACACAUGCAAGUCGAGCGGUAAGGCCCUUUUGGGGGUACACGAGCGGCGAACGGGUGAGUAACACGUGGGUGACCUGCCCUCAGCUCUGGGAUAAGCCUGGGAAACUGGGUCUAAUACUGGAUAUGACCUUUCCUCGCAUGGGGUUGGGUGGAAAGUUUUUCGGUCUGGGGAGUGGGCCCGGCGGCCUAUCAGCUUGUUGGGUGGGGUGAUGGCCUACCAAGGCGACGACGGGUAGCCGGCCUGAGA
rnacentral:rRNA from 1 species